rnacentral:rRNA from 1 species
AGUGAACGCUGGCGGUAGGCCUAACACAUGCAAGUCGAACGGCAGCACAGUAAGAGCUUGCUCUUACGGGUGGCGAGUGGCGGACGGGUGAGGAAUACAUCGGAAUCUACUUUUUCGUGGGGGAUAACGUAGGGAAACUUACGCUAAUACCGCAUACGACCUACGGGUGAAAGCAGGGGAUCUUCGGACCUUGCGCGAUUGAAUGAGCCGAUGUCGGAUUAGCUAGUUGGCGGGGUAAAGGCCCACCAAGGCGACGAUCCGUAGCUGGUCUGAGAGGAUGAUCAGCCACACUGGAACUGAAACACGGUCCAGACUCCUACGGGAGGCAGCAGUGGGGAAUAUUGGACAAUGGGCGCAAGCCUGAUCCAGCUAUACCGCGUGGGUGAAGAAGGCCUUCGGGUUGUAAAGCCCUUUUGUUGGGAAAGAAAAGCAGCAGGUUAAUACCCCGCUGUUCUGACGGUACCCAAAGAAUAAGCACCGGCUAACUUCGUG